rnacentral:rRNA from 1 species
AUUGAACGCUGGCGGCAGGCCUAACACAUGCAAGUCGAGCGGUAGAGAGAAGCUUGCUUCUCUUGAGAGCGGCGGACGGGUGAGUAAUGCCUAGGAAUCUGCCUGGUAGUGGGGGAUAACGUUCGGAAACGGACGCUAAUACCGCAUACGUCCUACGGGAGAAAGCAGGGGACCUUCGGGCCUUGCGCUAUCAGAUGAGCCUAGGUCGGAUUAGCUAGUUGGUGGGGUAAUGGCUCACCAAGGCGACGAUCCGUAACUGGUCUGAGAGGAUGAUCAGUCACACUGGAGCUGAGACAGGGUCCAGACUCCUACGGGAGGCAGCAGUGGGGAAUAUUGGACAAUGGGCGAAAGCCUGAUCCAGCCAUGCCGCGUGUGUGAAGAAGGUCUUCGGAUUGUAAAGCACUUUAAGUUGGGAGGAAGGGCAGUAAAUUAAUACUUUGCUGUUUUGACGUUACCGACAGAAUAAGCACCGGCUAACUCUGUG